rnacentral:tRNA from 1 species
GGCUCCAUAGUGUAGUGGUUAGCACGUCUGCUUUGCACGCAGAGUGUCUUGGGUUCGCGCCCCAGGUGGAGUCA